UUUCCGUAGGUGAACCUGCGGAAGGAUCAUUACCGAGUGAGGGCCCUCUGGGUCCAACCUCCCACCCGUGUUUAUCGUACCUUGUUGCUUCGGCGGGCCCGCCUCACGGCCGCCGGGGGGCACCCGCCCCCGGGCCCGCGCCCGCCGAAGACACCAUUGAACGCUGUCUGAAGAUUGCAGUCUGAGCAUCCUAGCUAAAUCAGUUAAAACUUUCAACAACGGAUCUCUUGGUUCCGACAUCGAUGAAGAACGCAGC
rnacentral:misc_RNA from 1 species